GAUGGGGUGCGUGAGUGGUUGAAACGGGAAGUCUUGAAAACUUCUGUACCGCAAAACGGUACCGUGGGUUCGAAUCCCACCCCCAUCG
rnacentral:tRNA from 1 species